GAUGAACGCUGGCGGCGUGCCUAAUACAUGCAAGUCGAGCGAACAGACGAGGAGCUUGCUCCUCUGACGUUAGCGGCGGACGGGUGAUUAACACGUGGUUAACCUACCUAUCAGACUGGGAUAACUUCGGGAAACCGGAGCUAAUACCGGAUAAUAUAUUGAACCGCAUUGUUCAAUAGUGAAAGACGGUCUUGCUGUCACUUAUAGAUGGAUCCGCGCCGCAUUAGCUAGUUGGUAAGGUAACGGCUUACCAAGGCUACGAUGCAUAGCCGACCUGAGAGGGUGAUCGGCCACACUGGAACUGAGAAACGGUCCAGACUCCUACGGGAGGCAGCAGUAGGGAAUCUUCCGCAAUGGGCGAAAGCCUGACAGAGCAACGCCGCGUGAGUGAUGAAGGUCUUCGGAUCGUAAAACUCUGUUAUUAGGGAAGAACAAAUGUGUAAGUAACUGUGCACAUCUUGACGGUACCUAAUCAGAAAGCCACGGCUAACUACGUG
rnacentral:rRNA from 1 species